GUCAACUACCCCGCCCUAAAGGGCGAGGCUUGUGGCGACAGUGCGGCAAGCCCAGGUUGACCAGCCUAAGCCCGCCUCACCGGGAAGUUGAAAAGGGCUACGUUGCGUAGAGGUUCAAGACCUACCUUGGGAUGCUUCCUCAGUCCCAGGCUCUAGAAGUCCCGGUUGCAGACACGCAUUGGGUAAGCACGAAACGGAUCAGGACGUAAUGCCGCUACGCAACAUGGGCGAGGGGAGCGAGCC
rfam:Candidatus Contendobacter odensis Run_B_J11, WGS project CBTK01000000 data, contig: COMPJ11_2695_Contig_42